rnacentral:rRNA from 1 species
UACAGAGGGUGCAAGCGUUGCUCGGAAUCAUUGGGCGUAAAGGGCAGGUAGGUGGUCUCAUUUGUCAGAGGUGAAAGCCUUGGGCUUAACCCAAGAAGUGCCUCUGAAACGGUGGGACUAGAGUGCUGGAGAGGGUCGUAGAAUUCCCGGUGUAGCGGUGAAAUGCGUAGAGAUCGGGAGGAAUACCAGAGGCGAAGGCGGCGACCUGGACAGCGACUGACACUCAACUGCGAAAGCGUGGGGAGCAAACAGG